GCUCGUGAAAAUCGUUGCUAGCUAUUAAACUGGAUUGAGAUUAAGAUGCUCACUGUAUCUCCAAAUGUGAUGAAAAUCAAACCCCGCUCCUUUACAAUGCCUUUGGGGGAGGGUUCACACACAGAAGUUUGUGCACUAAAACUGAUAUCCUGACCUAAGUGCUGUUCUAGCUCGCCUUACUAUAAAUCAGAAGCAGCUCUCUGGUGCACAUGAACUCACAGUCAGAGCAUUUAUUUGUUAGGAGGGUAGAUUAACAAAGGCGUGGGCAGAACCCAGGAAAGAGAAAGGGGCCACAGAGCAGAAAAGUGAUGGAGCCAGGCACACACAGGAUACUGUGUCCCCAAAUAGUUCGGCGUCAAAUAACAAAAAUAGCUAUAACUUCAUUCCCUUAAUGUGCCCAUUAGUCUAAGUAAGACCUUUCUUUGGUUCGUGCCUGAACCUGGCUGUUUCUCUGCAACCUGCAAUUUAAUCCUCUGUGAAUGUAAUCCCCUAAAUGUAAUCGUCUGUGAAAUUAAAACAUAAUCAGUUCUCCAUUAUUAGGGGAAGUGGGGAGCUGCAAAAUCGAAAGAAGGAAAACCUGGCUAAUGGAAGUGCUUCUGGGCCCCAGCUGGCCCUGGAAGAUUCCCAGUCCUUUCCAGAAGCAAUGAGCUCUGGCAGGAGAGUCCUCUCAAUCAGGCUGGGAGGUGCAGAACUGGUGCAGGCAUUGCUACAUGCAUAGCAUGGCUUAUUCACGACGUGGGUAACAAACACAGAAAUAAUGGAGAAUAAAUCCUGCUUUGUUUCUUUGUUUGUUUUGCUGUAACUGAAACAAAAAUAGGUGUUUAAAUUAAUGUUAAUGAAAUGAUUUGAAGUUAGAGCGUUACGGAGGUACUGCAAGCAGCAAUAAAAUCACCAUGAAAUUACAAACAUGAUUUCAUGAAGAAUAAGACAUCAGCUCUGAAAUAGGAUUAAAGCAGCAGAAGUAUCCAGUUGCAGGAAUAAAAGACUUCAUCUAGCAAGAAUGGUAACACCGCACUCCUUAACGCACGGUGGAGGCAGGCAGGAAAGCACUCUCUCACUUCACUUCCAAAACUAAUGAAGAAAAGUACCCACAAACUCCAGGGGAGGGAAAAAAGGAUGAAAAACGGGCAGAUUCAGACAAUUAAGACAUUAGUUUUUCUUAAAUGACAUCAAACCCUAUUUCCAGAGCUGGUUGUUCAUGUCUGCCUGUUCUCUCCAGUCAUGGUUUGGAUAGAGGAGCUGGAGGCUGAAGCAGAACUUUCCACUGCUGAGUACAUGCAGUCUGCCUUUCAGGUAUCUAUUUCUGGGACUUCUCACUUGCAAAGGAUGCUCUGCAGAGCUGAUUUCUGACAGCCCUGGUGCAAGGCCUGGCCGGUGCCAGCCCUGGGGCUGCAGUGCCUCCUGACGGAGCAAGACAGCUCACGGCCUCUCCUCUGCUGACAAAUUGCACAGCUGUGGUGUUACAUGUCAGCACUUGCGUUGCGGAUCUCCAGAGACAAACCGGGAAUGUUCUGUAUGCCGGGCAGUGGCCUGGAGCCAUUGCGUUGAGACAACCUUCUUGAGGGAGCCAUGGUGAACAAGAUGAGUGGGGAAUCCACCUGCAGCCAUGUAAAGAUAGGCAUCCUACUGCAGCAAGGCCAGCUGUACAGCUUAAGGAGGAGACCUCAAAAAAUGCACUAAAUACUUGCAGUGUUUGAUGUGUGGAUACUACACUGUCUUCAAACAGCAUUGGUUGAAAAGCAAGGUAGGUGGGACUGUAUGUCCCUGAAAUCUAAGGUGCUCUUUCAUCAGCAUUUGCGGUGAGUCUGAAGUUGUUUGAUGGUAUUUAUCGUCAUCUGGAACAUUUCCAGUGGAAAACAUGAUCUUGCUGACCUGGAAUCUAACUCAGCUCCUGCAACCCAUAUAAUCAGAGUAAGAGUCCAGAGAGACAUUUGGAUUGAUACUCAGUACAGAGAAGCAAAGAACUGGAGCUACCUGAAAUGAGCUGCUCAUCUCCUGAGGUCACCUAAAAUUAGCCUUUCAUCAAGAUAUUGAUGACUUCUUUCACUGCAUUAUCACAGCUGUUAACCUAUUGCCAGCAAAUUCCACUUUAGAAAAGAUAAAAGGUCUUUUGAAGUCGCGUCCUCCUGGGCAUCUGCAGAAUCUCUGUGAGAUUAUGGAAAUACGUUUUGUAGGUGAUUAGCAUAGGGAUGGAAAAAUCAAAAAGCAGUCUUGAGAGACAGACAAUUAUGGUGGAAAAAAUAGCCAUCAUGAACUUUAAUUGACAAAGUAAUUUACUAAGACUCCCGAAAUGGGUGAAUAAUAACAAAUGAUUUUUUUCUUUUUUUGGUCUGCAUCAUACGAGAGAGGAUAUAGAAAAGAAUCAGCAAGGACAACUAUUGGGAUAAAGGGAAACAUUAAGACAAAGAACUCAUGGUCACAGAUAACAGCUUUACUGCCUCAGAAGAUAUUUUCAAAAGAAAACUAGUGGAAGACUGCAGAUGAGGCUAUAUGAAGAUGGAAGAAUAACUUCUUAGAAAACUUCACUCACAGAUCUGUCAGUGGUUUGCUGUCAAAUUAUAAUGGCAUAUUAUUUGUGAAUCUGUAAGGGUUAAGUCCUGAUUGCACUAUUCAUCUUUUUUUUUUUUUCCUCAGUGUCACAGUAGUAUCCUUACCCUCUCCAUUUCAAAAGAAAAUAUUAGAGAUUAAUUUUUCUUUCUCUUCAUGUUGGAACGAGUAUUUAAGUGUAAAGCAACUUGCUUCAACUCAAACAAUAUUCUCCUACUGCUGUGUUUGCUUCCAGCUCACCUUUUGGAAAGACUGCAGCUAAAAUGUCUGUCCUUUCCUAGACAUGAUUACAGGACAGUAAGUUACCUGAUGCACAUUAUGAAAAAGUUUUCUGAACUCAUCUUUAAGAAAUUUGAGCAGUUCCACACUGUGGAAAAGAGCUAUGAAGAACACAGGAAAUCCAUUUUAUUUUGGGGAGUUGGAUUCAGUUUUUCCAGGGCUUGUAAUGGACGGAGAGGAACAAAUUAAUGAUUAUGAUGAUAACAAAAGUAAUAAUGUUCUUCAGUAUGAAACCAAGCAGACCUCUUCAGUAUGAAGAGUUGAGAGACAUCUACAAAGCGUGGCUUACAUUACAUGCCCUAUCUGCUUCUGCCUCAACAGCAGGACGACAAGCCAGCCAUGGACCCUUCCUAGAAGGCCCAGUGCCCAAAAGAUGCAUGAGAUUUGUAGGCAGCAUCAACUAAGGCUGUUCAUCUAGCACACGAUGCUGCAGAUAUCUUGUAUCCCAGAGAGCUGGUAUGAGGCAGAGAGAUAAAAUCAUUGAAUAUUUUUCCUGGCCUGAGUUUCACUGGAGUCUUCACCAAAGACACAUCCAAGUCGGGCAGUCAGCUCCAUAGAAGUACUGCCUCACGGGCACAGAUCACGGUGCUCAAACUGUCUGUUAAACAUUGCUGUCUGAUAAUAGAGGUUUAUUUCCUUCUCCUUGACCGCAUUAAGAAAUCUCCCAUUCUCUUGUUGCAGGCAGGACAAGCCAAAAGCCCUACUUUUGACUGAACUUUGAGUGACUUAAAUGUCUUGGACUUGCAGCCAUUGACACAAACUGGAAGACAGAGCUUGUUGCAUAUGUUAAAGUAAGUUGGUAUCAAACUCACUAGAAAGCCUCAGCAACCUAUGAAAAUAUCAAUAAAUUUUACCAAGCAACAAAAUCUUCUCUAAAGAGGAAACAGAAAUUUUCAGAAACUGAAGGCUCCUUCUCCCUGUCCUCUGGGGCUGAAAGCUUGGAAAACAUUGCAAUCCCUAUGUAGCAUCUCCUUAAAAGCUUUUUUUACCUGACAGUUCUUCUGCAUUAUUAGUGCUACCUGAGUCAUCUGAAUGAUCUCCUGCUUUUUUCACAUAUAACUUGACUGAGCAAACAGUGAUUUGGCUGGUAGUGGUCAACACUCAGGAAGACACAUCUUGUGCUGCUGGUUUUCAUCCCGGAGCUGCUAAUAUUCUGGAGAGGGUCUCCUGGGUACCUCGUGGCAAAGCAGUGGCAAUCUGUAGGCAGGGAAUCUCAAGUCUUCCCAGGCUCAAGAUGAUUAGCUCUCAUCCCCAACACCCCUGCAAUGAAGCACUGUGACAGAAAUGCUGCCCCAAAUGUGGGAUUCAGCAAGGGCAGGCAAGGACAGCAAAAGGCCCCGGAGAGAAUAGAAAGAGAGACCUCCUUUCUUUGUUUGAGGCACUCAGGUCCAGAUUGGAUGAGGCCCUGGACAACCUGAUCUGGUGGGUGGGCAACCAGCCCAUGGCAAGAUUGGAACUGGGUGGCCUUUAAGGUCCUUUCCAACCCAACCAUUCUGUGACUCUGCGAUGCUGUGAUUCUAUUCUUGGGGGGCAUCCACAGAAAGAGAACCGUCCUUGAUCCAGCUCAGGAAAGGUGCCAGUACGCUCAGCAUCUGAAACGCAUCAGUCAUCUAGAUAAGUAAUUGCAAGCUGUUGAUCAAACCUGCAGAAGAUACAGAAUUGACGUCAUGAAUAGAAAUUGUUAUUGAAGUUCUCACACCCGUGAGGACGUAAACUGAAGAACGAUAGCAAAGCAUCCUGCAGAAUUGAACUCAGAACUGACUGCUUGUAAGAUAUACUGCAGUUUCUUAUGAAAGCCAAUCGCUGCCCUUCAUACGUCAGUCUGACUGAAAGAUGAGAUGAGCUGAGGGAUCAGAGUGAAUCCAGCGCUACAAAGGGCUUUGGGAAGAAGUAUGUUGUAGUGAUCUCCGACCCAACUCGCACUUACAUGUCAUUUCUGAAUGGGCACUUGAAAAAUUCUUUGCCAAUUCUGUUCUCAAGAGAGAGCUGCAAUUUCCCUGAGUCCCCAGACCGAAAGGGAAAAAUAGUUAUUUCAAAGACCUUUGAGAAACAAACAAAAAGAAAAAUAAGGGCAGGUUUGUUAUUUGUGUAAAUACGUCAUCCAAAUGGUUUUAAGAAAGAUAAUUCAUGUUAAUUUGAGAAUUCAAUUAAUUUAUCAUGUCAGUGCUGGUACUACUCCAACAAAACCAGCUCCAGCACAGCAGUACAGACAGUAGAAUUAAUUGACUGUGUAUCCCAGAGAGUUCCACUUCUCUGUCACAGUUCAUCGUUUCGGCUUUUGUACCCUUAUCCAGACACAGUGCCACUCUUCUUGGCAGCAAAGUGACCUGAAAGCAGCUGUUGGCAUUAUAGCCACCUGUGACAAUUUCCAAUAAAUUUCCUAAUUAAAUAAGCCCCUUUCCAGUAAUUCUUUGAUGUCAUCUAAUUUUCUGCCAUUUGGUAAAGUCGGAGAGACAGAAGUCUCAAAGUAAUCUGAAUUUUAUGGUUCCCAACUUCUGUUCCCUAUAAGGAGCAAACUGAUUUCUGUUUCGGUCUUUGAAGGAUUAUUAAGACAGAGGAACCAUUAUAACAACAAUGAAGGGACUGUUUGAUUUUCAUACAACUCGUAAGUCCGUCCCUCCUGCUGAAACCAAGAUCUCUUGUGCUGUGGUGUAUGCUGAGAACUGAACAAAAGCUGCUGAAUCUCAAAGACUCAUUAACACUUCAAGAACAAGAAGAAAAGAAAGAAAAAAAAAAAGAAGGAAAAACUGGGAAAACAUUUACAUUAGUCCCUGCCACCCCUAUCCCAAUGCCUUCCUCUCACACUCAGUUUAUGUGCAGACCACUCACUUUCUCUAACUAAAGUCUACUCCAUAAUGGGGACGACUCGGUAAAGUCAUACAGAGACACCUAAGGGUUUCUUAAGCUAAAUCCCAGCAGGAGGGACUGAAGCUGUGUCUGUUCUGCAUUAAUGUGGAGGACCAAGGCUCCCCAGUAGCAUAUUUACCAUUCUUUAUCCUGCAGUCCUACAGGUGCCCAUGAUGGCACUUUGGGCCAGGAGUGAGGGUUGGGUGUAGCACACACCCAACAGUUAUCUUUUUCCAGACAUCCUACGGCUGCUCAGUUGUCAGAUGUGUUUUAUUCGCUUUAACCUGAGUGAGAACAUCUCCUUCUUCCUCACUGCUGGUCAGCUACAUUAAAUCUCAUUCCAUCACACACUCCACUAGCUCAGUGCCAUCUCUUCCAAAGAUGUUAAUGCAAGCCUCAUAUUCUAUAGCGUGUAUCAGCUCUCUAUGAUGGAGUCAUUUCUUGUGUGAAAACUACAGAUUUCAACGAAAGAGGAUUUCCUGGUCUUCCUGUGUUCACACAGCUGCUUUGCAGCAUGGUUUGCAUGUACUUAUAAAGGCCAAAAUGGAAGCAGUAAACAAAAAGAACCUACAGCCUUCUAUUUAAAAGCAAACAAAGCCCUACCAUUUCCGUACUCUUUUAUUUUUAAUAAAGUUGACUCAUAUUUUGUAACAUGACUGGCAAAACUGCUAGAGGCCCUUCCCUAUGCAGCAGCACGAGCACACAUACAUCCCCAUGGUGGCUGCCCACCGCAGUCAGUCAGUCUUAGGUUCAUGCUGAAGAUGUAGAUGUUUACAGAGAGCUUCCCAAGGAUUCUGUGAGUGCUCACAGAGACCUUUACCAACCACUGCAGGCUGUCACAUAAAGUCUUUUGUAUCUGUGCACUUAAUCCAAGGCCCAAUAAACUCAGUAAUUCAGAGCUGGAAUUCCCAUGAAUCUCAGAAGACUUUGGAUCAAGUUACUAAUGCUACCUUUGUUUAUAGGGGUUUAUAGGAGUCCAUAUCUGUUUGCCUGCUGCUACUUACACCGCUGUCAUAUGUUUUUAUUUCAGGCGAGGGGCAAAAUGGAAUGAGCUAAGAGAAAUUCACUUGACUUUCUAUUUCUGUUUCAUCAAAGCUUCCAUCUGUCUCGGUGAUGUCUAAAUGUGUCUUCACUGAACAUUUCCAGACCUGUGCUCAAUUCAUCUGAUUCCAAGUGUCUUCCUUCGGCCACUUUCGGUGCAGAUCAGCCAGCAUCCCAUUUAUGUUUUGAAAAACUACCCUAAACCCUUAACUUUAGGCCUAAAGAAACUAUCCUUUGAACGCUAACUCCACAUGCAAAGGAAGUUCUUAAUAUUACUGUAAAUGGAUCCCUUCUCUUCACAUGGCAUCUCAGACCUGUGGGUGCAUGGCAUUUACCCCAGGAAAUGCAGGCAGAGCCAUUGCAACUCAGCAGUGAAGGUCACAGACCUGCUCUCCAGCCCUUGACCUUGUCUGACUGUGCGACAUUGCUAAGGGACCAGAGAAGUGGAGAGCGGGGGGAAGGGUCAGCAGACAUUGGAGACAGAUGUCCCAAUUCAUCACCCACCAGAAAUAAAUUAAAAAAAAA